UACGGAGGGGGCUAGCGUUGUUCGGAAUUACUGGGCGUAAAGCGCACGUAGGCGGUUAUGCAAGACAGAUGUGAAAUCCCCGGGCUCAACCUGGGAACUGCAUUUGUGACUGCAUGGCUGGAGUGCGGCAGAGGGGGAUGGAAUUCCGCGUGUAGCAGUGAAAUGCGUAGAUAUGCGGAGGAACACCGAUGGCGAAGGCAGGUCUCUGGGCAUUAACUGACGCUGAGGAGCGAAAGCAUGGGGAGCGAACAGG
rnacentral:rRNA from 1 species